rnacentral:rRNA from 1 species
AAGCCUUAAUAACGGCGAGUGAGCGGCAAAGCUCAAAUUUGAAAUCUGGUACCUUUGGUGCCCGAGUUGUAAUUUGGAGAGUACCACUUUGGGACUGUACUUUGCCUAUGUUCCUUGGAACAGGACGUCAUGGAGGGUGAGAAUCCCGUGUGGCGAGGGUGUCAGUUCUUUGUAAAGGGUGCUCGAAGAGUCGAGUUGUUUGGGAAUGCAGCUCUAAGUGGGUGGUAAAUUCCAUCUAAAGCUAAAUACAGGCGAGAGACCGAUAGCGAACAAGUACAGUGAUGGAAAGAUGAAAAGAACUUUGAAAAGAGAGUGAAAAAGUACGUGAAAUUGUUGAAAGGGAAGGGCAUUUGAUCAGACAUGGGUGUUUUGCGCCC